UUAAUAGUCAAAGUAUCAGAUAUUAAAGCCUUCAAACCUGAAAAUGUUGAGGACUUCGACAAUACUAAAAAAUACCAGGUUUUAUGGUAUGACAAAGCUACGAAAAAAUCAAAUUACUAUAGUGCCAGUAUUAUACUACUUGGAAGUAGUAAAAAAAAUCUUGAAGAAAAAAUUAAACAAGCAGAAGAUGAUGACAAUUCGACAAAACUCCGCCAGACGCGUAUCUCAUCCAGUGAGAGUGAUAGGUCAUCAGAUGAUGAAAAACCGUUAAAAAAAAGAAAGAAAGAUGACUCUCUGAAAAGUAACAAGUCAACUCUGAAAUUAUCUAAAGUUGAUACUAGCACUCCAAACAUUUCAUUAGAGUUUUCUAGUAAAAAAACUGUAGUCGAUGAGAUCUAUGAACAAAUUUAUGAACUCAAAAACCGAGUUGUAUCAUUAGAGAAUGAAAAUACAAUUAUUUUGUCAGAUGUAAGCAUUUUAAAGGUAGAGUUAAAUAAGGUUAAG